rnacentral:rRNA from 1 species
AUUGAACGCUGGCGGCAGGCCUAACACAUGCAAGUCGAGCGAGCGGCGGACGGGUGAGUAAUGUAUGGGGAUCUGCCCGCUAGAGGGGGAUAACUACUGCAAACGGUGGCUAAUACCGCAUACUAUCGCUUGAACCUAUACGGGAUUAGCUAGUAGGGGGGGUAAAGGAUAACCAAGGCGACGAUCUCUAGCUGAUCUGAGAGGAUGAUUGGACACACUGAGAGUGAGAAACGGCCCAGACUCCUACGGGAGGCAGCAGAGGGGAAUCGUGGACAAUGGGCGAAAGCCUGAUGCAGCCAUGCCGCGUGUAUGAAGAAGGCCUUCGGAUUGUAAAGUACUGUCAGUCGAGAGGCGUUACCGACAGAGGAAGCAACGGCUAACUACGUGCAAGCAGCCGCGGUAAUUC